ACGGAGCGUUCUCAUUUGGGGCAGUACAAGGGCCGUAUUUUUCCCUGCAGCUGAGUUAUUCCCUUUGUGCCUCACCUAUUUUUAAGUCUUUUAAUGUACUCCAAGGUUAUCUUUAAAGCCCUUUCUGUAUCUCAGCUGCUUCACGUUCCUUCCACCUCCACCCGGUGUACGUCAAUCGUGUUCUUGUUCUUCAGGCCCAGGUAGUUCACCGGAUUUACGGCAGCUACUUUUUGUCUCUCUUCAGGCUUUACUUUUCUGAAGGACUUCACUCAUCCAGAAUAGACUUGGAGACUUGAGGCUGAAGAAUAAUUAUUCAUUCUUUUUCAAGUCUUAGGACAGCCGAAACACAAGUCUUAAUUUUACAGCCACUAGGACAUCCAUGAGCCAACAAAUAUUUCUCUGCAUAGCCCACUAGGAUGCCAGAAUGAUGCACACGUCUGUAGAGCUGAGUGUAG